rnacentral:lncRNA from 1 species
UUCUCUAAAUGACAAGAUCACAUCAGCAAUUCAAGAGCCUGCAGAUAAUUUAGCAAAGAAGAGGAAGUGGGAAGAGUCGAUGAUCCCAACGCCACCCUUGAACUCCGUAUUAGAUAUCGAGCUUCACCUCGAAACUCCAUUACCUUUCUAUUGGCAAAGGUGUCUCGACAUCCAGGUCUUUUCUUUUCUCCUGAUCGAUACAAACCCCUAUUUGUUGUAUCUUUUUUCUAUUUGCUAAAGUGGUUGUAUAAUUAAAUUUACUAGGCCUAUUGAUCGGUGGUUGUUUAUAGUAUUAAAAUAGGAGGUUUGAGUAGCUUUCUGGGUCAGUAAGUGAUUUGAUAUUAUUAAUUAGCUUAAAUCUCGAUAGAGUUAAAGUGUGGUGAUGAUUUCUUUUUCUUCGUUUUCAGUCGGGCAAGAUACACUUUUACAACAUGACGACUCAAAAGAGAACAUGGAAAGAUCCAAGGGACAAACUCGAGAAAGAUGAUGACGACGACGAUGAAGAAGAUGACAACCGCUAUGACAAGAACGACAUGAGUUUGGACCUUGAACUCAACUUGACUUGUGAAUCCAUGGAGAAGAACAACAAUCAUCAAACCGUACAAGGUGUGCGUCGUGCUAUAAAUGACGGAAUGAUGUUUGGGUUAUCGGAAAAUUACAACCACAACAACAACAAAAAGGCGGAGAUGGUGGCGGCCGUUUGCAUGAGGUGCCAUUUGUUAGUGAUGUUGUGUAAAUCUUCGCCGGAGUGUCCUAACUGUAAAUUUAUGAACUCGCCGCCGGAGCAGACCUCCCCGGCGAUGUCCAAGCGCCGGUGUCAUCUUUCUUGGUAAUUAAAGUGAUAAUUAUAUAUUUAUAUAAUAUAAAGUUAGGAGAAAAAUGAAAAACUCUUUAAUAAUUAAUUAUAAUUAUUCUCUUUAAUUAAUUGUAACUUUAAUUUGUAUUAUUGUAGGACGAGACCCUCAAACUUUCUUCUUUGUAAUUUGUAUAUAUACAAAUGGGUGUUUCAUUUGUUAUAAAUAUCCGAAAGUUAUUUCAAAUUUGGUUUGUCGGUUGAAAAAAGAUGAAAAAUAAAAUUAGAAGACAUACGUGAUAAUUAUAUUAAAGUCGGAUGGAAUUGAUGUGA